GACGAACGCUGGCGGCGUGCUUAACACAUGCAAGUCGAACGGAAAGGCCCUGCUUUUGUGGGGUGCUCGAGUUGCGAACGGGUGAGUAACACGUGAGUAACCUGCCCUUGACUUUGGGAUAACUUCAGGAAACUGGGGCUAAUACCGGAUAGGAGCUCCUGCUGCAUGGUGGGGGUUGGAAAGUUUCGGCGGUUGGGGAUGGACUCGCGGCUUAUCAGCUUGUUGGUGGGGUAGUGGCUUACCAAGGCUUUGACGGGUAGCCGGCCUGAGAGGGUGACCGGCCACAUUGGGACUGAGAUACGGCACAGACUCGUACGGGAGGCAGCGGUGGGGAAUAUUGCACAAUGGGCGGAAGCCUGAUGCAGCAACGCCGCGUGCGGGAUGACGGCCUUCGGGUUGUAAACCGCUUUCGCCUGUGACGAAGCGUGAGUGACGGUAAUGGGUAAAGAAGCACCGGCUAACUACGUG
rnacentral:rRNA from 1 species